rnacentral:rRNA from 1 species
AGUGAACGCUGGCGGUAGGCCUAACACAUGCAAGUCGAACGGCAGCACAGUAAGAGCUUGCUCUUACGGGUGGCGAGUGGCGGACGGGUGAGGAAUACAUCGGAAUCUACUUUUUCGUGGGGGAUAACGUAGGGAAACUUACGCUAAUACCGCAUACGACCUACGGGUGAAAGCAGGGGAUCUUCGGACCUUGCGCGAUUGAAUGAGCCGAUGUCGGAUUAGCUAGUUGGCGGGGUAAAGGCCCACCAAGGCGACGAUCCGUAGCUGAUCUGAGAGGAUGAUCAGCCACACUGGAACUGAGACACGGUCCAGACUCCUACGGGAGGCAGCAGUGGGGAAUAUUGGACAAUGGGCGCAAGCCUGAUCCAGCCAUACCGCGUGAGUGAAGAAGGCCUUCGGGUUGUAAAGCCCUUUUGUUGGGAAAGAAAAGCAGCAGGUUAAUACCCCGCUGUUCUGACGGUACCCAAAGAAUAAGCACCGGCUAACUUCGUG